CAAAGCCUGGAGACAACUCACAGCUCCUCUAAGACCCUCUUCUCUCUCUCUUUCUUUCUCUCUCUCCCUCCCUCUCUUUCUCUCUCUCUUUCUCGCUGCAUCGCUUUCAGAAACGGACGUAAAUCGACGGAAAGGGGAAGGAAGUAAAGAAGAAGUUGGAAGCGGAAGCUCGGAGGAGCCGAACCCGCGGGCUUUCCGCGCUCGUGCGGGAGUCGCGCGCCUGCGAUCACGGAUCCUUCAGCCAGGCAGGACCCGUGUGUGCCUCAAUGGAGUAAGACACCCAUCACCUGCUUCGUGAUGGUGCAUAUCCAGCACUGUCCUGCCCUAUCCAGUACUGUCCAGCACUCAAGAAUAAACCACACAGCAGAAAGAGAGAGACAGAGGAGAAGAGAAGAGCCAGGGAGUGGGAGGGGGAGAUGAAGGAUGGAUAGCGAUAGAUGGAUGAACUUGGAGAGGUCCAGCUCAGAUUGUGAUCGCCGGGGGCUCUCCUGCUAUCUUCCUCCUCUGCAGGCCCCUCUCUCCAGCCCGGGGAGCGUGCUAGCGCACCGAGGCCAGCUAGGGUGAGCUGUCAUGGGCUUGGAGAGGUAGCCUGAACCCCCCCUCCUCGGUCAGCACCACCUCUGGAGCCCAGAGUGAAAUCAAUAUGAGGAAAGAGAGACUGAUGCUGGAUCACCCAAGCUAGCCCCCCAGCCGCGAGCCAAAUGACCUCUCACACACACAUACAUCGGCACAGUCACACACGUUAGCAUACAUAGUUAUGCUCUAUCUGUCUCUCUCACUUACAAAGUCAUGCUAACACGCUAACAUGCGUACAGUUAUGCUCUUUCACACACACACACAAAUAUACACUAGUGUUACUAAAGACCUCGCACAAGUCCUGACUCCCACACACCUAACCAUGUGUAUGUGUGUGUGUGUAAGGUUUACCUUGAGGGCAUGUUAUUUUGGACCAGCUCUCUACAACCCAAACAGGCCUCAAUUAUUUUUCCUGAAGAUGCCAAAAGGUCCUAGCUGGCUUCUCCCCUCUUUCUCUCACACUCUCUCUCCAUCGCUCUACCUUCAGCCAUGCCGCCUCCCACUCUUGGCGCGAGAGAGAAAUUAUUCAAAUAUGUUUGUACAACGAUGAACUUCCUCCCCCGAGCAUCUCAUUGCCCAUUCUGUGGCAAAGACUUGAAAGAAGGAAGCACUUUGCUGUGCCGUGCCUUGCUGCACUAAGACUCCUACACUCCUCCGCACCAAGGAGGUUAACGCACCAUCAUACCUCAGCCAUUAUGACCACCUCUCUCACUGCCAAGCAGAGUGUUCCCUCAAGAACAACAGCCAUCAGUCAGUCGAGCCAUGGGACAGUGUGGACUAAGCAGAGCCCAGUACAGCAUUACAGCAGAAGUGAGGCUAAAACUACAAGCUCAAGUGCAGAACACAUCGAACUUCAACCUCAGCCAAAAAGAUCACUCACUGCAGGGAUGCUGAAUUAAGACUGAAGAGUAGACUGACCGGCCCUUCUGGAAAGAGAGAAACAGCACUGAACACAAUGACGACGCUGAUGACAGUGAUGUCCAACAGCUCUCGUUCAGGCCCAGCACUGGGAGAAGAAAACAGCCAUCAGACGUGCACUGCAGGACUGUGCUGAGUUUUUUGUGAAUUGUACACAACCUCAAAAAUGAGUUUCUAUUGAAUGUCUUACCUUUGCUCCUGAGGUUCUUUUGAUUUAUACUUCAACCUAAAGUCUGGAUAUUUCAUGACAUUUCUGUUGCAGUGUAAACACCCGAAGACUGUGGUCAAUCUGCAAAAGGUAAGCAAACAAUAAGAGGUAAGUGAGACACAUGCACAAAUAUAUUAUUGUUUGUUUUUGGCAAUGUUCAUACUCAGAACUAGUUUAUAUAUGUCUUAUAUAAUAUUCAAAUACUCUUUCCCAAGACAGUUACUGGGAAAUGGAAUAGAACUGGAAGGAAAGGAAAAAUGGUUUACAUGUGGCUAUUUCUGUAUCACUCCAUCAUGGUGGUACUUCUGAAUGCUUUUAGUUCUUGCUGCCUUCUCAGCACAUCAAUAACAGCAAAUAUAUAAUACAUCAUAACAUCACUGUCCAACGAAAGACAUGAAUCUAAGUAGCUUUACAGGAGAAGGGAAAAACUUAACUUCUUCUUAACUUUUAAUGCAAGGAUUGGAAAGAGAUUUUAGCCCAAAUCAUUUUGGAGCCUUUCUAUUCUAUUCUAUUCUAUUCUAUUCUAUUCACUAAUUGUAAAAAAGUUUUACACACUGUAAAAGACAACUGCUGAAAAAAGGAUGAUACAUAUUUUUAGACAGUGAUGAGAAAGUUUCUUUUUAUUUUUCUGUCUUAAAGCUUUUUUCAAUAAAGUUUUGAAUACAGUA